UACGAAGGGGGCUAGCGUUGCUCGGAAUUACUGGGCGUAAAGCGCACGUAGGCGGCUUUCUAAGUCGGGGGUGAAAUCCUGGAGCUCAACUCCAGAACUGCCUUUGAAACUGCAUCGCUUGAAUCAUGGAGAGGUUAGUGGAAUUCCGAGUGUAGAGGUGAAAUUCGUAGAUAUUCGGAAGAACACCAGUGGCGAAGGCGACUAACUGGACAUGUAUUGACGCUGAGGUGCGAAAGCGUGGGGAGCAAACAGG
rnacentral:rRNA from 1 species